GUAGGGAAUCUUCCACAAUGGACGAAAGUCUGAUGCAGUGACGCGGCGUGAGUGAAGAAGUAUUUCGGUACGUAAAGCUCUAUCAGCAAGGAAGAAAAUGACGGUACUUGACUAAGAAGCCACGGCUAACUACGUGCCAGCAGCCGCGGUAAUACGUAGGGGGCAAGCGUUAUCCGGAUUUACUGGGUGUAAAGGGAGCGUAGACGGUAUGGUAAGUCAGAUGUGAAAGCCCGGGGCUCAACCCCGGGACUGCAUUUGAAACUAUCAGACUAGAGUGCAGGAGAGGUAAGUGGAAUUCCUAGUGUAGCGGUGAAAUGCGUAGAUAUUAGGAGGAACACCAGUGGCGAAGGCGGCUUACUUGACUGUAACUGACGUUGAGGCUCGAAAGCGUGGGGAGCAAACAGGAUUAGAUACCCCAGUAGUCC
rnacentral:rRNA from 1 species